GAAACUGCGUACGGCUCAUUACACCAGCCUUAAUUUACUUGACCUUGACAACCUACUUGGAUAACUGUGGUAAUUCUAGAGCUAAUACAUGCACCAAAGCUCCGAUCCUCGCGGAGAGGAGCGCAUUUGUUCGCCACAAAACCAAGCGCCCAUCUGGGCGUCCAGUGCUGAACCAGAACAACUCAGCUGAUCGCACGGUCUUGUACCGGCGACGUGUCUUUCAAGUGUCUGCCUUAUCAACUUUCGAUGGUAGUGUACCUGACUACCAUGGUUGUGACGGGUAACGGAGGAUAAGGGUUCGACUCCGGAGAAGGGGCCUGAGAAAUGGCCACUACGUCUAAGGAUGGCAGCAGGCGCGCAAAUUACCCACUCUCAACGCGAGGAGGUAGUGACGAGAAAUAACGAGACCGUUCUCAUACGAGGCCGGUUAUUGGAAUGGGUACAAUUUAAA
rnacentral:rRNA from 1 species